GAUGAAGAACGCAGCGAAAUGCGAUACGUAAUGUGAAUUGCAGAAUUCAGUGAAUCAUCGAAUCUUUGAACGCACAUUGCGCCCUUUGGUAUUCCAAAGGGCAUGCCUGUUCGAGCGUCAUUUGUACCCUCAAGCUUUGCUUGGUGUUGGGCGUCUUUUGUCUCCAGUUCGCUGGAGACUCGCCUUAAAGUCAUUGGCAGCCGGCCUACUGGUUUCGGAGCGCAGCACAAGUCGCGCUCUUAGCCAGCCAAGGUCAGCGUCCAGCAAGCCUUUUUUCAACCUUUGACCUCGGAUCAGGUAGGGAUACCCGCUGAACUUAAGCAUAUCAAUAAGCGGAGGA
rnacentral:misc_RNA from 1 species